GUCGUCAGCUCGUGUCGUGAGAUGUUGGUUAAGUCCCGCACGAGCGCAACCUUGUCUAUGUUGCCAGCGGUUCGGCCGGGGACUCAUAGGAGACUGCCGGGGAUAACUCGGAGGAAGGUGAGGACGACGUCAAGUCAUCAUGCCCCUUAUGUCCAGGGCUGCACGCAUGCUACAAUGGUCGGUACAACGGGCUGCGAUCCCGCGAGGGUGAGCGAAUCCCUAAAAACCGGCCUCAGUUCGGAUUGGAGUCUGCAACUCGACUCCAUGAAGUCGGAGUCGCUAGUAAUCGCGGAUCAGCUAAGCCGCGGUGAAUGCGUUCUCGGGGAUU
rnacentral:rRNA from 1 species